UUCAAAUAAACCGUCCGUCUUAUUUGAAAAAUUUAUGAAAAAAUUUUAAAAGUUAAGUCAAACAUAAAGUACUAUUCAUAUUUUAUCAUCUAAUAACAAUAAAAAUACUAAUCACAAAAAUAUUUCAAAUAAGACGAAUGGUUAAUGUUGGACACUAAAACCUACAACUACGCUUAUU
rfam:Oryza nivara chromosome 8, whole genome shotgun sequence.